CUGGUGCCAGUAAAGGAGUCAAUUCAGACCUUUUCAACGUGGUUCUUGCAGAGGAGUUUAAUCUGACUGUCGACUCCAGCAAGGCACUGGAUGUAAAUCUUUUAAAAAUGUAUAUAUCUAUGCCGCUGAAAUGAGCCUUGCAUAUUGCCAGUUGAACCGAAAUCAUCUGAAUCGAAUUUCAAUUUGGUAUUUGUAAAGCUGGCCUAUCCAGCCAUUCAAAAGGCUAAACUUCUUAAUUAACUUUAUGCAGUGGUGUAAAAUUCAGCUUUGCACAUAAAUUAACUUACAUUAAUUAAUUAAGCUACAUAUCACCCAUUUAUGUUUCCUAGCUUUUCCAGCACUGGAAUGAAAAUGAUGCAAAACUUAAUUAAAGCAGAUGUUCACUGAACAGCUGUUGCCAUCCCACCAGCAGGGGGCAGGACUGCCCCUCAUCAUAUCAAGCAAUGCAGUCUGGUUUUAGGAUCUAAACUGGUCAAAGACCAUGGUAUGGCUGCUUAAGAAAGCUCACCACAGCCUACUCUUUAUGUGGAGGCUGAAGAAAUUUGGCAUGUUGCUGACAGUCCUAGGCAGCUUCUACAGGUGCACAGUGGAGAGCAUAUUAAUCUGCUGCAUAGCUGUGUGCUUUGGCAGCUGCACUGGACAGGACAGACGGGCACUACAGUGGGUGAUCAUGUUAGCUCAGAAAAUCACAGGGUUAGGUCUCCCUUCACUGCAGGACAUCUGUGACAGGAGAAUCUGCAGAUGGGCCAGCAGCAUUGUCAGCAGUCUCACCCACCUCACCCAACAAAUCGUCACUCUCAUGAAACCUGUACAGGAGUGUUAAUACCACAACACCCAGACUCCAGAACAGUCUGUACCCCCAGGCCAACAGAAGGAUCAAGAACUGCCACCCUCUGCCAGCUGUGCCCCCACCCCAGGCACUAUGGCAAUGAUCACCCAGCUUGCAGCACUCUGCACCUUACAUGCAUUUGUUGGAGUUUGUGUUAAGCAAAUAAAUGCCUUUUUCUUAAA